GGCUCAGAAUAUGCAGUAGACUGUCAAUUGCAUCGAGAAGUAAAUUUCGGAGUUGCAUCCUAGAAAGUAAGAGUUCGUAACCCUAUAUUUUCUUAGUCAGUUGGGGGCCCACGUGUCACUGUAAAAGUAAUUUUAUUCUUCAGUUAUUUAAUUUAAAAUAUGUAUGAAUAUAUUUAGCUUUUACACCAUGUUUUUGGCGAGUUUCGGUAUUUUCGAAGAAAAAUGACGAAAAUGCCUCUGUGAGCUAGAAAGUAAUAUUUUAUUAUUUUAAUUUGGAAAUGACUUAUGAUUUUUUUUGAAAUGUGAGAUUUAAUAACUGUCGCUCAUUGGAGAGAUGCAGAAGCUGAUGCUAAGCCUUGCGGGGUUUCGAUCGGCAUUCGGGGUAAUGAGUGCCUAUCGAGACGUCGCGGCGGUUGUCACGGGCUCGAUGAGAGUUCCGGGUCGUGACAAUAGAUGUCUUCGUGUCAUCACUCCAUUGUCCAUUCCCCUAUUUAUGUCGCACAUAUGUUUUGUUUUUAUUCUGUUGGUACACACUCCUUAUAGCUAAGGUUAGGUUUGGCAUAUGUUAUAAAUAUACAUGUGGUGUAAUUAUGCAUGAUAUGCAUAGAAUUGAGCACAUGGAUUGUGCGAAUGGAAAUGUCGAUGGGGACAUGAUGGAUAUUGAUGAAACGCAAACAUGAGAUGGAUGUUAUGAACUAUACGUGUGUGUUGAGCUGUAUGCUCAUUAUAUAAGUAUAUGAGUUGUGUUAAAGUUGUCUAUGUUAAGGAGACUUGUUUGGAUUUAAUGGAUCUUACUUACAUAGGGAAUUUGGAUCGUGACUACAAG
rnacentral:lncRNA from 1 species